rnacentral:rRNA from 1 species
AUUGAACGCUGGCGGCAGGCCUAACACAUGCAAGUCGAGCGGCUGCACAGAGCUUGCUCGUGGAUUCAGGGGGGGACGGGCGAGUGAUGCCUGGAAACCUGCCUGGCAGCGGGGGAUAGCGUCCGGACGCGGGCGCUAAUACCGCAUACGUCCAGAGGGCGAACGGGGGGGAUCUUCGGACCUCCCGCUAUCAGAUGAGCCUAGGUCGGAUUAGCUAGUUGGUGGGGUAAAGGCCUACCAAGGCGACGAUCCGUAGCUGGUCUGAGAGGAUGAUCAGUCACACUGGAACUGAGACACGGUCCAGACUCCUACGGGAGGCAGCAGUGGGGAAUAUUGGACAAUGGGCGAAAGCCUGAUCCAGCCAUGCCGCGUGGGUGAAGAAGGUCUUCGGGUUGUAAAGCACUUUUGUUGGGGAGGAAGGGCAGCAAGUUAAUACCUCGCUGUUUUGACGGUACCAACAGAAUAAGCACCGGCUAACUUCGUG